CAUCCCAGUUCGGAUUGCAGGCUGAAACCCGCCUGUAUGAAGUUGGAAUCGCUAGUAAUCGCGGAUCAGCAUGCCGCGGUGAAUACGUUCCCGGGCCUUGUACACGCCGCCCGUCACACCAUGAGAGUCGGGAACACCCGAAGUCCGUAGUCUAACCGCAAGGGGACGCGGCCGAAGGUGGGUUCGAUAAUUGGGGUGAAGUCGUAACAAGGUAAC
rnacentral:rRNA from 1 species